UACCAGCGCCCCGAGUGGUCGGGACGUUUAUUGGGCCUAAAGCAUCCGUAGCCGGUUCUACAAGUCUUCCGUUAAAUCCACCUGCUUAACAGAUGGGCUGCGGAAGAUACUAUAGAGCUAGGAGGCGGGAGAGGCAAGCGGUACUCGAUGGGUAGGGGUAAAAUCCGUUGAUCCAUUGAAGACCACCAGUGGCGAAGGCGGCUUGCCAGAACGCGCUCGACGGUGAGGGAUGAAAGCUGGGGGAGCAAACCGG
rnacentral:rRNA from 1 species